rnacentral:rRNA from 2 species
UAGGGUUUUUAUUUGGCUCAGGACGAACGCUGGCGGCGUGCCUAAUACAUGCAAGUCGAACGAACUCUGGUAUUGAUUGGUGCUUGCAUCAUGAUUUACAUUUGAGUGAGUGGCGAACUGGUGAGUAACACGUGGGAAACCUGCCCAGAAGCGGGGGAUAACACCUGGAAACAGAUGCUAAUACCGCAUAACAACUUGGACCGCAUGGUCCGAGCUUGAAAGAUGGCUUCGGCUAUCACUUUUGGAUGGUCCCGCGGCGUAUUAGCUAGAUGGUGGGGUAACGGCUCACCAUGGCAAUGAUACGUAGCCGACCUGAGAGGGUAAUCGGCCACAUUGGGACUGAGACACGGCCCAAACUCCUACGGGAGGCAGCAGUAGGGAAUCUUCCACAAUGGACGAAAGUCUGAUGGAGCAACGCCGCGUGAGUGAAGAAGGGUUUCGGCUCGUAAAACUCUGUUGUUAAAGAAGAACAUAUCUGAGAGUAACUGUUCAGGUAUUGACGGUAUUUAACCAGAAAGCCACGGCUAACUACGUGCCAGCAGCCGCGGUAAUACGUAGGUGGCAAGCGUUGUCCGGAUUUAUUGGGCGUAAAGCGAGCGCAGGCGGUUUUUUAAGUCUGAUGUGAAAGCCUUCGGCUCAACCGAAGAAGUGCAUCGGAAACUGGGAAACUUGAGUGCAGAAGAGGACAGUGGAACUCCAUGUGUAGCGGUGAAAUGCGUAGAUAUAUGGAAGAACACCAGUGGCGAAGGCGGCUGUCUGGUCUGUAACUGACGCUGAGGCUCGAAAGUAUGGGUAGCAAACAGGAUUAGAUACCCUGGUAGUCCAUACCGUAAACGAUGAAUGCUAAGUGUUGGAGGGUUUCCGCCCUUCAGUGCUGCAGCUAACGCAUUAAGCAUUCCGCCUGGGGAGUACGGCCGCAAGGCUGAAACUCAAAGGAAUUGACGGGGGCCCGCACAAGCGGUGGAGCAUGUGGUUUAAUUCGAAGCUACGCGAAGAACCUUACCAGGUCUUGACAUACUAUGCAAAUCUAAGAGAUUAGACGUUCCCUUCGGGGACAUGGAUACAGGUGGUGCAUGGUUGUCGUCAGCUCGUGUCGUGAGAUGUUGGGUUAAGUCCCGCAACGAGCGCAACCCUUAUUAUCAGUUGCCAGCAUUAAGUUGGGCACUCUGGUGAGACUGCCGGUGACAAACCGGAGGAAGGUGGGGAUGACGUCAAAUCAUCAUGCCCCUUAUGACCUGGGCUACACACGUGCUACAAUGGAUGGUACAACGAGUUGCGAACUCGCGAGAGUAAGCUAAUCUCUUAAAGCCAUUCUCAGUUCGGAUUGUAGGCUGCAACUCGCCUACAUGAAGUCGGAAUCGCUAGUAAUCGCGGAUCAGCAUGCCGCGGUGAAUACGUUCCCGGGCCUUGUACACACCGCCCGUCACACCAUGAGAGUUUGUAACACCCAAAGUCGGUGGGGUAACCUUUUAGGAACCAGCCGCCUAAGGUGGGACAGAUGAUUAGGGUGAAGUCGUAACAGGUAAAGCCGUAA